rnacentral:rRNA from 1 species
AAAUAGAUUAAAAUAAUUAAGGGCACACAAAGGAUGCCUUGGUAGUAAGAGCCGAUGAAGGACGUGGUAAGCUGCGAUAAGCCUAGAUAAGUUGCAAUCGAACGUAAGAGUCUAGGAUUUCCGAAUGGAGCAAUCUAUUAAGAUGGAGUCUUAAUACGAAAGAGGGAACCGCGUGAACUGAAACAUCUAAGUAACGCGAGGAAAAGAAAGUAAAAACGAUACCCGAAGUAGCGGCGAGCGAAACGGGUCAAGCCUAAACCUUAAAUAUGUCAAGGAUACAGCCGUUGUAUUUAAGGGGUUGAGGGACAGAGUGAUGAAGAACUGUAAGAUAUUCAAUAUAGUGUAUUGAUGAACUAGAAUAGUCUGGAAAGGUUAACCGUAGAAGGUGAAAGUCCUGUAUAGGUAAAUCCUUACACAUAUAACUUUGAUCCCAAGUAACAUGGAACACGAGGAAUUCUGUGUGAAUCAGUGAGGACCAUAUCUCAUAAGGCUAAAUACUCUUACUAACCGAUAGCGCAUAGUACCGUGAGGGAAAGGUGAAAAGAACCCCUGGAGGGGAGUGAAAUAGAACCUGAAAUUGUGUGCUUACAAGCGGUCAGAGCCAGUAAUGGUGAUGGCGUGCCUUUUGGAGAAUGAUCCUGCGAGUUACGUUAAACGGCGAGGUUAAGUAUUACGGAGCCGAAGGGAAACCAAGUCUUAAUAGGGCGAUUUAGUCGUUUGGCGUAGACGCGAAACCUGGUGAUCUAAACCUGUCCAGGAUGAAGCUGUGGUAAGACACAGUGGAGGUCCUAACCCACCGCCGUUGAAAAGUUGGGGGAUGAGGUAGGUUUAGGGGUGAAAAGCCAAUCGAACCAGGAGAUAGCUCGUUCUCUCCGAAAUGCAUCUAGGUGCAGCCUUGAGUGUUCAAUUAUGGGGGUAGAGCACUGAAUGAUCUAGGGGGCAUAUUGCUUACUGAAAUCAAUCAAACUCCGAAUACCAUAAUUUAUAGCUCAGGAGUGAGACUAUGGGAGUUAACUUCCAUUGUCAAAAGGGAAACAACCCAGACCACCAGCUAAGGUCCCUAAUUAUAACUAAGUGGGAAAGGAGGUGGAGAUUCACAAACAACUAGGAGGUUGGCUUAGAAGCAGCCAUACCUUUAAAGAGUGCGUAAUAGCUCACUAGUCGAGAGUCUCUGCGCCGACAAUGUAACGGGGCUAAGUUAUAAACCGAAGCUGUGGAAUCCGUAAGGAUUGGUAGGAGAGCGUUCUGUAGGCCGUUGAAGGAGAAGGGUAACCGACUUUGGAGGUAUCAGAAGUGAGAAUGCAGGAAUAAGUAGCGAGAAAGGGGGCGAGAAUCCCCCUCGCCGGAAGACCAAGGUUUUCAGGGUAAAGCUUGUCUUCCCUGAGUAAGCCGGGACCUAAGCCCAGGCUAUAAUGCGUAGGCGAAUGGAAAACAGAUUAAUAUUUCUGUGCCAGUCAUAUAUUGUGAUGGAGGGACGCAGAAGGGUAUGCGCGCGGACGAACGGAAGUGUCCGUAGAAGUAUGUAGGAUGACUUAGUAGGAAAAUCCAUUAAGUUAUAUCUGAGGUAUGAUAUAUAGUCGUAAGAUGAAUGCGCAAAUCCCACGCUGCCAAGAAAAGCUUCUAACGUUAAUUUAUGACUGCCCGUACUGCAAACCGACACAGGUGGUCAGGAUGAGAAAUCUAAGGCGGACAGGCUAACUCUCGUUAAGGAACUCUGCAAAAUAACCUCGUAACUUCGGGAGAAGAGGAGCCCUUGGGUGUUAGUAUCCAUGCGAUACAAAGCGCUCGAGGGUCGCAGUGAAGAGGCUCAAGCAACUGUUUAACAAAAACACAGGUCUAUGCUAAGCUGGAAGGCGAUGUAUAUGGGCUGACACCUGCCCAGUGCUGGAAGGUUAAGAGGAGGAGUGAGAGCUCCGAAUUGAAGCCCCAGUGAACGGCGGCCGUAACUAUAACGGUCCUAAGGUAGCGAAAUUCCUUGUCGGGUAAGUUCCGACCUGCACGAAUGGUGUAAUGAUUUGAGCGCUGUCUUGACGGGAGGCCUGGUGAAAUUGUAUUACCGGUGAAGAUACCGGUUACCUACAGUAGGACGGAAAGACCCCAUGGAGCUUUACUGUAGCUUGGUAUUGGGUUUUGGCAUUGCAUGUAUAGGAUAGUUGGGAGACUGAGAUGAUAUGGCGCUAGCUGUAUCGGAGUCAUCGGUGGAAUACCAACCAUUCAAUGCUGAAAUUCUAAUCUGUGGUUUGUAGCCACGGAGACAGUGCUAGGUGGGCAGUUUGACUGGGGCGGUCGCCUCCGAAAGAGUAACGGAGGCGUUCAAAGGUUCUCUCAGGUUGGAUGGAAAUCAACCAUAGAGUGCAAUGGCAUAAGAGAGCUUGACUGCAAGACUGACGGGUCGAGCAGAUGCGAAAGCAGGACAUAGUGAUCCGGCGAUUCCGAAUGGAAGGGUCGUCGCUCAACGGAUAAAAGCUACCCUGGGGAUAACAGGCUGAUCCUACCCGAGAGUCCAUAUCGACGGUAGGGUUUGGCACCUCGAUGUCGGCUCAUCGCAUCCUGGGGCUGGAGAAGGUCCCAAGGGUUGGGCUGUUCGCCCAUUAAAGCGGUACGUGAGCUGGGUUCAGAACGUCGUGAGACAGUUCGGUCCCUAUCCACUGUAGGCGUUAGAAUAUUGAGAAGACCUGUCCUUAGUACGAGAGGACCGGGAUGGACAAACCUCUGAUGUACCAGUUGUCACGCCAGUGGCACAGCUGGGUAGUCACGUUUGGAAUAGAUAACCGCUGAAAGCAUCUAAGCGGGAAACUAACUUCAAGAUAAGUAUUCUUUAAGAUACCUUCGAGCCUAGGAGGUUGAUAGGUUGGAGGUGUAAGUACAGCAAUGUAUUUAGCUGACCAAUACUAAUUAUCGAAGUUUUAAUCUAAUUUGUUUUUACUAUAUAGUUUC